rnacentral:misc_RNA from 1 species
UUUUUAGGACAAAAAAACAUUAUAAUCCAAAUAAUACCAAGUUGACAUCUGUAAACUUUUUUCCUCUUUUUCUAUACAUAAAAUAAAGGGUUAAUUUGAUACAAUUAAAAAAUAAUGAUAAAAUAUUUAUGACUGAAGAAUUUACUUACACUUGCAGUAGGAGUUGCUUCAGAAUUUGGAUUGCUAGGAUUUGCAUCAGAAGUAGGAGUUGUGCCAUGGAACCUUCUAUUGUGCAUUAUGGCUCCGCAGAUUUGACACCUUAUGGCCACCUUGCCUUUCCUACUUAACCUUCCUUGUAUUGCUGCCCUCUCUAUUUCUUCAACCUCUUUCCUUUUAGCCAUUUGUUUUCGAUUUCUCUUUUUCUGAAUUGGGCUAUUAGGAAUGAUGACAUUGUGUCUAGAGGCUUUUGGCUACAUUUCAUGUCCAUUAAUAGGGUUUAUAACAUGACUAUGUACCUUCAAAUAAGUCCUUAUUGAAUAGCAUUCAUUGACAUAUCUCUCAGGUGCUUCAUUAUUUCCAAAAAAUAUAGCACAUGCAUGUGCACAUGGAAUUCAUUCAAAUCCCAUCUCCUAUAAGUGCAUGUCCUAGUAACCACAUUAACUACAAAUUGACAGUUAGCUCCAAAAACUUGCACUUCAGGACCACCAAAAAACUUGGGAGUGAAAAGAACAGAAAGUUAUUUCAUCUCAUUC